UACGUAGGUGGCGAGCGUUAUCCGGAAUUACUGGGCGUAAAGCGCAAGCAGGCGGCUUGUUAAGUUUGACGUGAAAUCUCCCGGCUUAACCGGGAGGGGCCGUUGAAAACUGGCGAGCUUGAGGCGAUGAGAGGGGUGUGGAAUUCCCGGUGUAGUGGUGGAAUGCGUAGAUAUCGGGAGGAACACCAGAGGCGAAAGCGACACCCUGGCAUUUGCCUGACGCUGAGAUGCGAAAGCGUGGGGAGCAAACGGG
rnacentral:rRNA from 1 species